rnacentral:lncRNA from 1 species
GUCAGAUCCCACGCGAGCGUUAAUGUCCCCCAGAAGGUAGAUAUUUUCAGUUGUUGGUAUAGUUUUUAUGACACAGUUGAGGUCUUUGUAGAACUGGUCCUUGGUCUCCUCUGAGCUGUAGAGUGUGGGAGCAUAGAUGCUGAGUAGAUGUGCUGAGCCAGAAGAAGUCGAGAGGCGCAGUGAGAGGACACGCUCAGUGCCUCCUGAUGGUGGUUCUAUUGAGGAGAGUAAUGAGUUUCUCACUGCAAAGCCAACGCCAUGCUGACGAGGUUCUUCUGGAUCGCUUCCCUGCUAAAAGAAGGUGAAAUCCUGUUCUUUGAGUUUGCCGUUUGAGGGAAGUCUUGUCUCCUGUAGCCCAGCAAUGUCUAUGUUAAGCCUCUUUAGUUCACGGUCAAUGAUGGCCGUUUUCCUUGUGUCUUCAACCCUGGGUAGAUCAUCAGAUAUUCCAGGGCACAUGGUCCUGACAUUCCAGCUUGCCAACCGCAGGACUGGUGGUUUCUUGUCUUUUAGUUAUUUGCCUGGUGCAGAGGUUGCAGGCCGCUUUUCAAGUCAUACUUUUAGAUCCAAGCACCCAAUGAAGCAGGCGGCCUGUGGCGGGUCAGCAGCUUAUUAACUGGGGGCUGUGAUUAUUAUUAUUAGCAGUUGGGAAGCAAUUGCCAGCAACCGUGGAGAUUGGCGACGUACCGUAAAAGAGGGAAUACAAAGGAGUGACAGAGAGAGAGAGAGAGAGAGAGAGAGAGAGAGAGAGAGAGAGAGAGAGAGAGAGAGAGAGAGAGAGGAGAAAUGGAAAGACAAGAAAAGACGUCAACAAGAAACUAUGACACUACAACCAGCCAGGAACAGUCUUCGCUACAUUUGCGGUACCUGCCAGAGGGAGUGUUUGUCCAGGAUAGGACUACACAGCCACAGCAGGAAAUGUAUCAGGACAUGAAAUGUAAAAGCCAGACUGGACUAUUUUAUGCGCAACUCCAUUGUCUCCCGAGACAAAAAGGAUGCCAACAACAAUUGUUAUUAUUAUCAUUAUUGUUAUUAUUAUUAUUAUUAUUAUUAUUAUUAUUAUUAUUAUUAUUCUAUGUUUGACUUUUGCUUUAUGUCUGUACAAGUUGGCUCCAAGUCUCACCCAGAGACCUCAAGAGACAACAGGUUGGAAGUUCUGUGCCAUAUAUUUGGGGUUUUUUUUUUUUGUACUAGUGAAUGUCUAAUACAUAAAAAAAAAUAAUAAAUAAAUAAAAAAAAAAGUUUGUUUUAAACCUUGGGAUUACAUAGAGAAUAUUUUGCGUAGGAUAUGAGCAGUUCCCAUGAGCACUAUCUUUUGAAUUUCUGCCAUUUUGGGGUUUCCUGGUAUCUGAGUUAGGUAGCAAUCAGUCCCUUUCGCUAUCAUUCCCAGGGCACCUAUGACAACAGGUAUUGUUUUAGUCUUCAGCUUCCACAUUUUGCUGAUUUCUGAUUUUAUUAUUAUUAUUAUUAUUAUUAUUAUUAUUAUUAUUAUUAUUGUUAUUAUUAUUAUUAUUAUUAUUUUAUUAUUAUUAUUAUUAUUAUUGUGAUGAUUAUUAUUAUUGUGAUUAUUAUUAUUAUUGUAAUUAUUAUUGUUGUUGUUAUUAUUAUUAUUGUUAUUAUUGUUAUUAUUAUUAUUGUUUUUUUUUUCUUCUUUCAAAUUUGCUUUCAUUUCUUGCCGAGUGUCUUCCCGACUCCUAGGGCAAAGAAACUCAUAGUAUACAUUGGUAGGCCAUUAAACCAAACUCAAUAGUUCGUUCAUUUUUUUUUUUUUUUAAGUUAAGUUAAAAUACAUGAGCAGCAACAGUUCUCACAUCGACAAUGCUCUUCUCAAAACGUGUGAUGUACCAGUUCUCACAUCGACAAUGCUCUUCUCAAUACGUGUGAUGUACCACUUUUAUUAUUAUUAUUAUUAUUAUUAUUCAGUAGUUUUAUUUUUAUAGCGUGCUUUCACUACACUACCGAGCACAGCUCUGUGUGCCUUGGGUAUGUGCUGCGAUUUGUUGUGAUGCUCUGAUGGUUAUUGUAUGGAAAGCGUUCUGCGUAGGAUGUGUGCAGUGCCUAGUAGUGCAAUUUUCUGUAUGUUAUAUGUGUUUGUAAGUCCUGGUGUUUUUGUUAUGUAUUUGUCUGAAUAUUUUUUUAUCAUGCCUAAUGCACCUACUAUGAUAGGAAUUGUUUCCGUUUUCAGAUUCCACAUUCUAGUUACCUCUAUUUCCAGGUCUUUGUAUUUUGAGAGUUUCUCCAUUUCUUUUAGAGACACGUUGUCAUCAGCCGGUAUUGAUACAUCAAUUAGAAAGCAUUUUUUUCUUCAUGAUCUCUGACAACUAUAUCUGGUCUGUUGGCCUUAAUUUCUCUAUCUGUGUGUAUCGGCAUAUCCCAGAGUAUGGUUGCUUUCUCGUUUUCUGUGACCUUUUCUGGUGUGUGCCUAUACCAUCUUUUUUCUGUUGUUAUUCCAUAAUGUUGGCAUAGCUUCCAAUGUAUGUAGGUUCCAACUCUGUCAUGUCUGUGAAUAUAUUCCUUCUUAGCCAAGACUGGGCAGCUAGAGAUAAUAUGAUUUAUUGUUUCUUGUCCAUCUCCACAUAUUCUGCAGUUACUUGUAAUAUUUCUUUUCAUUACAUGUUUUUGGUAAUUUCUGGUGGGGAGGCUUUGGUCUUGUGCUGCAAUUAAAAAUCCCUCUGUCUCUGCUUUGAGUCCUGAGCUUCUCAACCAUUGCUGGGAUUUUUCUUUGUCUAUUUCUUUUGCGUUUAGUUUAGUCCAGUAUUUACCAUGAAGGGGCUUUUCUUGCCAUCGUUUUAUCAUGGUUCGUUGCUGUUCUAUUUUUAGUUUGGAUUUCAUUUGUUUUAUAGCUUUUGUUGUUUCUUCAUCUUCUUCUUCUUCUUCUUCAUGUUUAUUAGGUGGUAUGAUUUCUUGUUUGUAUUUGUCAGCUUCCUUAAAUACUGAGAACAGUUUUUUGUUUUGCUCGUGUUUUGCCGCUAUCUGGAUCAGUUUUCCUUCCUUCUGAAGUAGAUAUUUUUGCAGUCCUAUGGUGGUUAUUUUAUAGUAGUUUUCCAGCUGUAUAAGGCCUCUACGUUGUAUAUAUAGUCUUUCUAUGUCAGAUUUUGGGUGAUGCAUCCUAGAUCCUGUCAUUAUUUUUCUUGUUUUCCUAUCUAUUUUGGUCAGUUCAUUUCGUGUCCAGUUAAGGAUAUUGUAGCUGUAACUUAUAACUGGGACAGCUAAAGUGUUGAUACCUAUUAUCUUGUUUUUAGCAUUGAGCUCUGUGUUUAGUAUUGAUCUAACUCGUCUAUAAUAUUCUUUUUUUAUUUUCUCUUUCAUUUGUGUGUGUUGUGUCUUAUCUAGUUCAUGGAUUCCUAAGUAUUUGUAAGUUUGGCUUUGGUCUAAUUCUUUUAUUUCAUUGGUUUUAUCUAGUGUGAUGUUGUUACUCUUAACUAGUUUUCCUCUUUUCAGGGUUACUUUGGCGCAUUUUUCUAAUCCAAAUUUCAUAUCUAUUUCUUUGGUAAAUCCAUGAACUGCUAGUACUUUGUUAAAGUUUUCAGCCAGCUUUUUGUGCAUUCCUGUUAGAUAUUUCAACCAGAAGCUGGGGAUCUUAUUAUUAUUAUUACUAUUAUUAUUAUUAUUAUUGUAAUUAUUAUUAUUAUUGUUAUUAUUGUUAUUAUUGUUACUAUUAUUAUUAUUGUUAUUAUUAUUAUUAUUGUUAUUAUUAUUAUUGUUAUUGUUAUCAUCAUCAUCAUCAUCAUCAUCAUCAUCAUCAUCAUCAUUCUGCUGCUUAAUCUAAUGCGUAUAUCACAACUUUGACAUAUGAUGAUAUAUGGCACAACAAUAAAAAUUGAAAAACAACAAGCGGAAAAGAAAUAAUGCAGGUAUAAAGUACGUUUCAUUCUGCAAGUGCACGCACGUAUGUGUGUAUAAGUAUGUAUGCAUGCAUGUAUAUUUGUAUGUAUGUAUUUAUGUGUGUAUAUUUGUACGUGUGGAGGCGGAUUGGCCCAGUGGUUAGGGCAGCGGGCACGCGGUUGUAGGAUCGAGGUUUCGAUACUCAGACCGGGCGUUGUGAUUGUUUAUUGAGCGAAAACACCUAAAGCUCCACGAGGCUCCGGCAGGGGGUGGUGGCGAUACCUGCUGUACUCUUUCGCCACAACUUUCUUCUGUUGGCCUGCUUGCUUAGCCAGCGGGGUGGCGUCAUUUGAAGGCUAAAACAAUACGAAGCGCAUUGUGACCAGCGAUGUGUAGCAACAUCUAAUAGCCUGGUCGAUCACGGCGAUCACGAUGAUAUUUGUACGUAUGAAUGCAUGUACUUAUACAUGUGAGUAUGUAUGUACAUGCGUACGUAUGCUUUUAUAUGUACGUACAUUUAUCAUUGUAUAUAGAUAACUAUGUAUUAUUUCUUUAUUGCCCAAAGGGGGCUAAACAUAGACGGAACAAACAAGGACAGACAAAGGGAUUAAAGUCGAUUACAUCGACCCCAGUGAGUAACUGGUACUUAUUUAAUCGACCCCGAAAGGAUGAAAGGCAAAGUCGACCUCGGCGGAAUUUGAACUCAGAACGUAGCGGCAGACGAAAUACCGCUAAGCAUUUCGCCCGGCGUGCUAACGAUUCUGCCAACUCGCCAUGCAAGCAUACAUAUAUCUCUGUGUGUAUGGAUGCAUAAAUAUGAGUAUGUGUAUGUAUGCAUGCGUCUACGUACGUGCAUAUGUAUAUGCACAUGUUUGCACUGCAUGUGUAUUUGUGGUUAUACCGGGCGUAGAGGGAUAUGGAUUCAUUCUUAACACGGUAACUAAGACUUUGGACGCGUUAAAGCAGAGACAUUGAGGCGCGCGCGCCUGUACACGAUCAUGUAUACUUGCAGUUGUAUUCACAUAACCAGAAACACACUGGUGUACAUCCAUGCAUAUAGGCGCGCAGGUAUAUACAUGCAUUCUUGCAUGCAGGCAAACAUAUAUAUAUAUAUAUAUAUAUAUAUAUAUAUAUACAUGAAUGAGUUCAUGUAUGUAUGUAUUUAUACAUAUACAUUUAAAAAUGAACGCAGAAAUCUGUGUGUGUUUAUAUAAAAAUAUCUGUACAAAUAUAUAUAUAUACACAUACACAAACACACACACACACACACACACAUAUAUAUAUAUGUACAUAUAUAUAUAUAUAUAUAUAUAUAUAUAUAUAUAUAUACAUAUAUACAUAUAUAUACCUCUGUGUAUAACAAGCUAUGUGCACACUUAUGUACAUAUACACACACGCAUAUAUAUGUGUGUGUAUGUAUAUAUGUAUAUAAAUAUAUAUAUAUGUGUUUGUACUAUGUAUUAUAUAUACGCACGUAUAUACUUACAUAAUAUAGUUAUAUAUAUGUACACACACACACACACACACACACACACAUAUAUAUAUAUAUAUAUAAGUUUACACACGCACACAUAUAUAACUGCAUUUAUCAUAGUUAUAUAUUGGCAAGCAAAAACAAAAAAUGGAAAGAAGGAAGAUGAAGGAACGAUGCAAAGAAAAUAAAUAAACCGAAUAGAAAAAAAAAAAUUUGUUCUUUAGUGGUUUCUUUCAUAGUCAUCUGCGCAGAUAACGGAAAACUUGCUGCUUCUCAGAAAAUACAAUACAGAACGAAUCCUCGCAUGGCUUGCGACAGAUGAAGAUAACAUCAAUAUCGAUCUUCUGAGCAGCAAAUAUAUUCAGUCACUUUAUUAAACGCUUCUUUUAUGGAUCCUAAGAUAGCUUAUAGAGCUCAAUUGCGUGGCAUAUAGAAUUUUUAUCGUAUAUCAUUUGAAUAACAGCUAUGUGAAAAUGAGUCAAUAUGUAUCAUUUCAGAAUACUUACACGUAUGUUUAAAAAACGGAAAUCCUUGUUAUAUUUUAGAUAUACUUCAAUAUUUCACUGAUUUGUAGAUAUCAAGUGUAAUUCAAUUUGAAUAUCGUGCUAUUACACCAAUUAGUAAAUAUCAUAUUUGAUACUGAUUAUUUAGCUAUCUUUUAUUUUUAUUGAGGUCGUGUCAGACAAAUAAAAAAAAACCCCAGAUAAAUAGUGAAGCUAGACGAAUUCAGAAAUGCUUCUUACUGCAGUUUUAUCUUUCGAAUUAUUCAAAAAACAGUACUGAAAAAUGUUGCUACCCUAUUUCAUUCUGAUUUAUAGAUUGACAUUGUCUCCUAUCUUUGUUAAAAUAUUAUAAAUCAGUCCUGUUUUCAGGCCCUCUCCAUCUUUGUAGCAAGUGCAAUAUUAAAGACUCCGCCGGUUACGACGACGAGAGUCCCAGCUGAUAGGAUCAACGGAACAGCUUGCUCGUGAAAUUAACGUGCAAAUGGCUGAGCAUUCCACAGACACGUGUACCCUUAACGUAGUUCUCGGGGAUAAUCAGCGUGACACAGAGAGUGACAAGGCUGACCCUUUGAAAUACAAGUACAACUCAUUUUUGUCAGCUGAGUGGACUGGAGCAACGUGAAAUAAAGUGUCUUGCUCAAAGACACAACGCGUCGCCGGGAAUCGAACUCACAACCUUACGAUCAUGAGCCGAAUGCCCUAACCACUAAGCCACGCGCCCUCACUGCAAGUGCAAUAUAUAUUUCUUAGAAAUGGUGAAUCGAGAAUGGCAAAUAAGUUUUGAUAUUACGUCACAUGUGAAGAGAGCGAGCUUACAGAAUCGUUAGCACGCUGGACGAAAUGCUUUGCGAUGUUUCGUCAAUCACUACGUUGUGAGUUCAAAUUCCUUUGAGGUCGGCUUUGCCUCUCAUUCUUUCGGAGUCGAUGAAUUAAGCAACAGUGAAACACUGGGAUCGAUGUAAUCGACUACUUCCCUCUUUCAAGAUUUCAGACCUUGUGUCUAUAGUAGAAAGGAUAUUAUGUCACAUGUGAAGGCAGCGAGCUGGUAGAAUCGUUAGCAUGUCGGACGAUAUGCUUAGCAGUAUUUCGUCUGCCGUUACGUUUUGAGCUCAAAUUCCGCCGAGGUCGACUUUGCCUUUCAUCCUUUCGGGGUCGAUUAAAUAAGUACCAGUAACGCACUGGGGUCGAUGUAAUCGACUUAAUCCCUUUGUCUGUCCUUGUUCGUCCUUUCUGUGUUAGCCCCUUGUGGGUUGUAAAGAAAUAGGUGUUUCGUCUACCGUUACGUUCUGAGUUCAAAUUCCGCCGAGGUCGACUUUGCCUUUCAUCCUUUCGGGAUCGAUUAAAUAAGUACUAGUUACGCACUGGGAUCGAUGUAAUCGACUUAAUCCCUUUGUCUGUCCUUAUUUGUCCCCUUUAUGUUUAGCCCUUUUUGAGCAAUAAAGAAAUAAGAAACGUUAGUACGUCGGGCAAAACGCUUGGCGACAUUCUGUCCGUUUUUAUGUUCUGAGUUCAAAUUUCACAAUGGUCGACUUUGCCUUUCACCCUGUCAAAGUCAAUGAAAUAAGUACCAGAUUAGUACUGGGGUCGACGUAAUCGACUAACUCUCUUCCACUAGCUUGCUGGCCUUGUGCCAAAAUUUGAAGCCAACUUUAUGUCACGUGUCACAUAUCAAUUCUCAGCGGCAUUUCUUCUGCUUUACGUUUCGAGUUUAAAUUCCACCGAAGUCGAUUUUGCCUUCUAUUCUUUCGGGGUCAGUAAAAUAAGUACCAGUUGGGGGUCAAUGUUAUUUAUUAGCCCUGUCCCACAAAAUUUCAGUUCAUGUGUCUGUAAAAGAAUAAAAUAUUACGUCGGACAAAAAGGCGGCGAGCUGGCGGGAUCGUUAGUACACUAGACAAAUGCUUAGCUGGAUUUUUACCGGCUUUGUGUUCUGAUUCCAAAUGUCUCCGAGAUUGAAUUUGCCUUUCCUCCUAGUGGAGUACAAGUUGAGCAAUGGGCUUGAUACGGUUGAUUUGCUACCUCCUCUAAAACUUCUGGUCUUUUACCUACAGUAGAAGAAAUAUCAUGUCACAUAUAUAAAGAACUAUUGGCUUUCAGCGCGGGUAUGAGGAAUCAAAUAAUAACAGUAGUAAAAGAAGGCAAAAUAUUGGACAAACAGAAAUAUCUAACGGCUACUUUAUGUAAAGUGGAGGCACAUGGCCGAGUGGUUAGAGGAGUGGUCUCGCGGUAGAGAGAUCGCGGGUUCGAAUCUCAGACCGGGCGAUGUGUGUGUUUAUGAGCGAAACACCUAAACUCCACGCGGCUCCGGCAGAAAGUAAUGGCGAACUUCUGCUGACUCUUUCGCCACAACUUUCUCUCACUAUUUCCUCCUGCAUCUUGCAGUUCACCUGCGACGGACCGGCGUCCCGUCCAGCUAGGGAACCUAUACGCCAAGGAAACCGAGAAACCGGGAAACCGACCCUAUCAGCCAGGCAUGGCUCGAGAAAGGGACAAACAAAACUUUAUGUAAAAGCGAAAACUUUAAAUAUUCACGGAUUCUCUUUCAGACGUAUGUGAAAAAUAGUGUGAAAAAACGUAGCCCGGAAUGUAAAGAAUGUAAAGAAUCUUUUAUAAAUAGUUUUGAGUUACGGUACGAUGAACGUCCUGAUAAUGUAAUUAUAUGCACUUGCAAUAUCAGCGGAAAUUCUGUGAAAUAGUUGUAAGUUUAUAGAGAAUUAUGGAAUAGGAUAUUUUCGGUUGCUGUCACAGUUUUGGAAAUAUUAAAAUAAACUGAAAGCUUUCAAAUUAAGUACAUUGGUAUAAUUUUUUACGCUGAAUCCAAAUUUGGGAAUCGUUUGUUCCUAGAAAAAUUCAGAAAGAUGUUACAGAGGUUCGAAAUUUCAUAAUCUUUAGUACGAUCAGAAAAUGAGGAAUCGGAAGCCGCGGAUUUUCUGCGUGAUAGCUGUCUGUCUCAAAAUGACCGAGAAGAAUAACUACAAGAAUGAAAAGAUAUCACACGUCGAAGUGUAAUGAUGGUUGCAGUGGUAAAAGUGUCGCAGUUGCGCAGUUGCGCAAAGUACAGCGUCAUUGUAACAAUGAAAACAGGUGACUGUUACUAUGGAAACAAGAACAGAUGUGAGAUUUACGGUCACGUGUAUAAUGGUGGCUUUUGAUUGGCUAAAGUUACUCAAAACUGGCAAAUUUUUAAAGCAAUUAUUAUGUUUGUUAUUUAUUAGUUUAUGACAAAAGGAAUUUCAUUUUUAUAAUUAGCAUACGACAAUUAAAUCAUUAUACCAAAUAUACCAGAUUUGAAAACAAUUGGAACAAAAUUAGAAAAAAACAAACAAAAGAAAACAAAAACGUUCCAAAAACAAAACACGAAAUCUGUGACAGCAAUGGGAAAAAAUCCAUGAAAUAAAUAAUUCUUUUCGAAAAUGUAUUUUGUGCGAAAUAUUUGAUUCUUCAGAUGCUGUAAAAUUCCAGCAGUAAUGAAUGAAUAGUCUUAGGAUUCAACAUUUCCGAGAACUUAUUCAUUGUGAUAGACGUGUCACAGUGUCUACCCUGAGAGUUUUUUAUUUUUUACAUUACGUCAAGAAGUAAAGAAUCUUAACUGUCAAACGAAAUCGGUGGCAUAAUCUAUCUGCAAUAUUAUUCUGCUAACUAAGGCGGUGAGCUGGCAGAAUCGUUAGAACGCUGGGCAAAGUGCUUAGCGGCACUUCGUCCCUACUUGCAUUCUGAGUUCAAAUUCGACCGAGGUCGACAUUGCCUUACAUGCUUUCGGGGAUCGAUAAAAUAAGUACCAGUUGAGUAUUGAGGUAGAUGUAAUUGACUUAACCCACUUCACCGAAAUUGCGGCCUUGUGCCAAAAUUUGAUACCAAUAUUAUUCAGCCAAGGACAGAAUGCUUUGUGGCAUUUCGUUCGUCUUUACGUUCCGAGUUCAAAUUUUGCCUUUCAUCCUUUCAGAGCAGAAAAUCGUAAAAUGUUGGUAUACAAUUUUAUACUCAUAUCAGAGAAAAGUUCAUGCGGCUAGACUCGAAUCUACAGUACCAGUGAAUCAAGAAUAAUAGCUGCUCCACUGAGCUGUGAAUAACGAAACGUAAAAAGCAAGAAAAAAAAAAGGAAGAAGGCAUUACAGGUGCAAGCAGCAUAGUUGCAUGAUUGAUUGCAGAAUUUCAGAUUGUAACUAGAUCCUUCUGGGUGAAUAAAACUUAAUAAUUACUGAGCCGUUUUGCUCGAUGAAAACUAAAGCAUUGAAGGCGGCGCUAUAGCGUGUGUGUUAAACAGAUUCUUACACGCAUAGCUAGCAGGGAAUGUAUGUGCUUAUCUCUCUCUCUCUCUCUCUCUCUCUCUCUCAAUAUAUAUAUAUAUAUAUAUAUAUAUAUAUAUAUUUCUUUAUUGCCCACAAGGGUCUAAACAUAGAGGGGACAAACAAGGACAGACAAAGGGAUUAAGUCGAUUACAUUGACACCAGUGCGAAACUGGUACUUUAUUUAUCGACCCCGAAAGGAUCUCGGCAGAAUUUGAACUCAGAACGUAACGGCAGACGAAAUACCUAUUUCUUUACUACCCACAAGGGGCUAAUCACAGAGGAGACAAACAAGGACAGACAGACGGAUUAAGUCGAUUAUAUCGACUCCAGUGCGUAACUGGUACUUAAUUUAUCGACCCUAAGAAAAUGAAAGGCAAAGUCGACCUCGGCGGAAUUUGAACUCAGAACGGAACGACAGACGAAAUACCACUAAGCAUUUCGCCCGGCGCGCUAUAUAUAUAUAUAUAUAUAUAUUGAAAGAAACUAUCUGGGUUGAUCAGCCUGGCGCACUUUUCAUCAGGUGUGAGAAGACGUGGAAUCUACCGAACAGAAACCUUUGUAAUGCAAAGUUCAUCGGGCGGAAUAGUCUCAACGUUCACUUGGCUAUUUGAUUUAUAGUCAAUCGGCUGUGGCAGAUGCUGGACAUCUAGACCUUGUGUCAUCUUCAAGAAUCUCCCUUCACCUCUUAAAUUCAGUUGCCCAGUUUUGCAGUGUUGCUAAAGUUAGACCGUCAUCUAAUGUACCAAACAUUUCAGCAUUAACGUCUUUGAGACGCUAAACCCUCUUCUUCAACUACUUGAUAACAACACGAUGCUAAGUUUUCUCCAUUUUCAAGAGAAGUCAGUAUUAGUUUUUGAACAGUCAGAUGCUAGUUCACCUGAAAAGUAACAAUGCAGUUCUUAAUAACAGGAUUUGAAAUUAAUGCAUGCAAGAUUUCACAGCUCUAGAAUCAUUCCUUCAUAGUCCACCUAUGAACUUUUCAGCCCGCUUUCGUAUAUAUGUAUAUUUAUAUGUGUGUGUGUGUGUGUGAGUGUGUGUGUGUGUAUGUGUGUGUGUGCGUGUUUGUGUGUGUGUGCGUGUGUGUGUGUUUAUAUUCUGUAGCUUCAGGUAAGAGCUGCGGCCAUGCUGUUGUAUAUAUAUAUAUAUAUGCAUAAACACAUGUAUUUAUACCCUUAUAUAAUCACAUUUAUAUAUGUACGUUUAUACAUAUCUAUGAAUAUAUAAAUAUAAAUAUGUGUGCGUGAGUGCAUGUAUGCGUGUGUGUGUGUGCAUACAUACACAGACACACAUACAUAUAACUAGUUACAUAUAUAUAUAUAAACUUUUUUUUGUACUAGUUAGUAAGAUUUGGCAAACGUAAACAAUUGCCGAGGUCCUAUGUAUAUAACUUAUGCAAACAUUUAAUUGAAUAUGUCAUCUACAGGUGAUGUAUUACUUACUCUGUCUGAACGUAGUUUAUUUACAUGCUGCUUUUAACUCACUUGUAUCGAUUUAUUAUAAAAGCUAACCCCUUCCUGUGGUCAAUAUAUUCAAGUUUUAUAAACUGUUUCGAAACAAAAUUGAGUAUAUAAUUAAAAACAAAUAUAUAAGUACAUGUUUUGUUAACUUAAACUCGCUGACGACGUUGGUCAUGCCUCAGACAUUAUUCGCUACACCAGCGGUUUCGAACCUCUUUGGCCCAAAUCGAUCAGGGGAUAGGGCGCAUAACAAAACAAAAUAAAGGUGCAUAAUAUAUAAUUUAAUUCUUACAUAUAUAGGGUGAACCAAAAGUCAUGCACCAAAAUAUUCGACAUUUUGUGCUGGUUGAGUCAUUAGCACGCUUAGCAGUAUUUCGUCCAUCUUUACGUUCUGAGUUCAAAUUCCGCCGAGGUCGACUUUGCCUUUCCUCCUUUCGAGGUCGAAUAAAUAAGUACCAGUUGAGCAAUGAGGUCGAUGUAAUCGAGUAGUCCCCUCCCCUCAAAUGUUCAGACCUUGUGCCUUUAGUAGAAAGGAUUAUUAUUAUAAUUAAUUUUGUUCAUCAUAUACAAGAACGUGUGUAUUCAUCAAUAUCUUAUUUAUUUUAUUCAAUUUUAGAAAUCUUGAAGCAUGUCUAAUAUUUCCAGAGCGUUAUUGGACUUAUUUUGUGUGUGACAUUUUCCCCUAAUCCUUUAUAAUACAUAUAUACGAGGAUGUGCUGAAAGGUGCCUGGCUUUAAGGCUAUCACAAAAGUCCUGGCUGGAGGCCCAACCUUCCGUAUUCUUUUACAGGGCUUAGAAAAAAUGAAGGGCCACUGCAAUAAGUGCGUGAAUCUGAGAGGGGAAUAUGUUGAAUAAAAUCGUAAUUAAAUGAUCCUUCUGUAUUUUCUUUUACUCAAGACCAGAAACUUUUCGCCCCCCCCUCGUAUAUAUAAGUAUAUAUAUAUAUUUUUUCUUUGCUUUUUACUUGUUUCAGUCAUUUUGACUGCGGCCAUGCUGGAGCACCACCUUUAAUCGAGCAACUUGACCCCGGGACUUAUUCUUUGUAAGCCCAGUACUUAUUCUAUCGGUCACCGCUAAGUGACGGGGACAUAAACACACCAGCAUCGGUUGUCAAGCAAUGCUAGGGGGACAAACACAGUUACACAAACAUACAUGCACACACACACAUAUAUAUACAUAUAUACGACGGGCUUCUUUCAGUUUCCGUCUACCAAAUCCACUCACAAGGCUUUGGUCAGCCCGAGGCUAUAGUAGAAGAGACUUACCCAAGGUGCCAUGCAGUGGGACUGAACCCAAAACCAUGUGGUUGGUAAACAAGCUACUUACCACACAGCCACUCCUGCGCUUAUAUACUUAUAUAUUUCAAAUAACGAUCACAUCAAGUAGCCAGCAUGGAAAAAAACCGUAUGGGUAAUAAUUAAUUUAGAUACAUAAUUAUAUAUAUAUAUAUAUAUAUAUAUAUAUAUAUAUAUAUAUAUUUAUAUAUGAGGAUAAUAUCGAUAUUUAAGUAUCCAUAUUAUCUAGUGGCCAGCAUGGGAAAAAUACCGUACAAAGGUAAUAAUUUUUAACAAUUAAAAAUGAGGGUGUCUAAGAGACACCAACAUGCCGAAAUAGCAGUCGAAACUCAGACUAUAAAAACCACGUUAAGGGUUCGUGUCGCACCAUGAGAUAAGACAGAUAGACAAAAUAUACAAGCAAAAAUUAUUGAAUAAUUCAAGAUCCAGGAUUUCUGGUUUUGCUUUAAAUAAGCUUUACCGUCAUCGGUUGAAUAUAUCAAGAGUACAUAAAUACAGAUAUAUACAUGCAGAACAAACGAUAUACUUACAUAUACGAACGUCCAUACAUAAAUACAUAUGCACGUAUGCACGCGGCCAGUUAAAUUACCCGCCGAAUCAUCCCAAAGUACGGCACGGUUAAAAUAAACACCGCAGUGAAAAUAAUAACGAAUUAUAUAUAUUUAUAUAUGAGGAUAAUAUCGAAAUUUUGCCUUCAACAGUGGAGAUAUACCAAAAGUUGUACAUAAUUACAAAUAAAAAUGAGGGUGUCUAAUAGACACCAACAUGCCGAAAUAGCAGUCGAAACUCUGACUAUAAAAACCACGUUAAGGGUUCGUGUCGCACCAUGAGAUAAGACAGAUAGACAAAAUAUACAAGCAAAAAUUAUUGAAUAAUUCAAGAUCCAGGAUUUCUGGUUUUGCUUUAAAUAAUAUAUAUAUAUAUAUAUAAUACUGGAGAAUUACCACCAUGCUAGAUAUAGAAGUCAAAACUGGCUCUAAACUAUAUCAUGUAUUCUUAUAGCACAGGCGAAAAUUUAAAUAAAUGAAGAAAUUAAAAAAAUAAUAAUGGUUAGUCCGAGAUCGACGAUUUGUGGCUUGGUAAUAGAAAUUUUGCCUUCAACAGUGGAGAUAUACCAAAAGUUGUACAUAAUUACAAAUAUAUAUAUAUAUAUAUAUAUAUAUAUAUAUAUAUAUAUAUAUAUGUACAACAUACGAAUACUUACAUACAUAUAUGUACGUAUAUACCUGACUAUCAAUUUGUGCGUGUUUGCAUCUGUGUUUGUGUCUCCACUACUAGACAAGUAGAGCUAGUUUGGUUGCGUCGCUGCAGCUCGCACUUCAGCAAAAAAUGAGACUAAUAUAAUUAGCAAGGGGACUCGACAGGGGCCGGUUUGUCCGACUAAACCGCUCAAGGUAGUCCCCAGCACGACCACAGUGCGAUGGUGGGAACGCGUAAAAGAAUAAAAGAUAUUAUGUGUGUAUGUAUAUAUAUCACAUGAUCAUAUGACAGACCAGGCUAUCAAAUGUUGUUACACAUCGCUGGUCUGAAAUGAAGUAUUUUGCUCAAGAACACAAGGGGCCGCCCAGUCUGGGAGUCGAAUCGACGAUCUAGCGAUCGAGAGUGGAACAACCUCAGCACUAGGCCACGCGCCUUCAAGUGUAUGUAUGUAUAUCUGUUAGAAGAAGAGAAUGAGUUUGUGUGUGUGUGUGUGUGUGUGUGUGUGUGUUUGAAUGUAUUUUAAUUUGCCUGUUUCUUAAAAAUGUUAAUCAGCUUUUUUUACUGGAAACUUUCAACGUUCUUCAAAUUUUUUUUUACAUUUUGUUUUAUUCUGACUCUUUCUUUUUUCGAUCGUUUUCUCUUUUCAAUUCUGAAACAUCGUGUGAUUGAGUCUGGUGUAGAAAAGACGAAGGAGAACAAAAAAAAAAAAAAAAAGACCGUACCAUUUCAGGACACGUAUUCUGGAUUUCCGCUGAUUCAACAGUUCUUUAGAAAGAAGAGAUAAAAUAACCAAGGAAAAAAUUAUUUUAACGAAAAAGAUCAAUUUAUUUAAAGCAACAAUUUAAAAACAGAAAUGAAGAGGAAAAGAAAAAAAAACUAAUAAUUUCUCUACGUUUUGCAAGCCAACGUAAAUUGACAAAUUCUUUAUAUGUAUUGUGAUUCAUCGAAUAAGAUAAAAGGAUGCAAAAAGACGAGAAAAAGAUUUUAUCCGUUCCUUCAUAUAAAAUUUAGUUCUUUUGAUUUUUUGAAAAUUCUAUUUUAAAAUAUCAACUUUUCAAGUUAUUUUGUUAUGUUUUUAUCAACAUUUCCUUUUUUGAAUUCCAAUGUGUGUGAGAUAUCUAGAGAUGAAAAAAAAAGGGGGUACUUUUGUCAAUUCGGAAACUUAAAAGUCGUCGAAUUAAGUAAAAAGACUACAAAAAGAUCAAAGAAAAUGUGGGACAAGAGCAACAUGGAUGCUAGUGAACUAAAAUUCCUAAGAAAAUCACAAAAGGUAAACCGUCGUUUCCAGAAUCAAUUUAGUUAUUUUUUUAAAAUCAUAUUAUCAAUUUACGAUUGCUUGACUGAUUAAAUAUCGACAAUAUAUAUAUAUAUAAAAUUUUAAAAAAUAGGGAAACCGAAAACAUUUUAUAAACUUCCUACUUUUUCAUUUUGUUAGUGUGUAUAAUGUUAUACACACUCACGUAUGCACACACGCACAUGCACACACACACACAUGCAUAUCUAUGUGUGUAUAUGAAUAAAUGUAUGCAUGCAUAUAUAUAUAUAUAUAUAAAUAUAUACACUCACCCAUAUAUAUAUACACGCAUACAUAUACAUAUAUAUAUAUACACACAUAUAUACGUUCAUACAUACAUAUCUAUCUAUAUUUUAAUAUCUAUAUAUACUAAUAUACAUACAUAUCAGCAUAUAUACAUACACACAAACACACACACACAAAUAUAUGGCAUUAGUACUUAAUUAUAUUAUUCAAUAUAAUUAUUCAAUUGAUGAUAAGCAAGACUCAGAUAUAGCCAACCCAUAAAAACCCUUCACGUACAUCACUGAUCGAUAUCAUCACACACGCAUAUACAAACAUGUAUUUUAUUAUCAUCGGGCAUCGUAUUUAAAAAAAUAAAUUGAAAAUAAACGCAAAUAUAUAAAACCUCUUUAGAUUCCCAUUCACCUGGAAUUUUUUCUAUUUUAUGAAUACAGACAUAUCUGUUACAAUUCAAAACGAUUUUGAGGCAAGAAAAUGAUCAUAUAAUACGAAAAGUCACACUUAGCAACAUCUGACACCUUGAACGAUAUUUCGCAUUGACAGCAUAAAUGCUAGAAAGACGCUUUUACAGAAAAUAACAUUAUACGUGCAAAAUAAUACACAGUACAAAAAUGUAAGCAUUUAAAAUGACAGUUCUUUCUACUAAAAGCACAAAGCCUGAAAUAUUGGGGGAGGGGAGUUGUCGAUUAUAUCGACUUCAGUACUUGACUGGAACAUAUUUUAUCGACCACCGGAAGGAGGAAAAGUCUACCUCGGCAGAAUUUGAACUCAAAACGUAAAGAGGGACCAAAUGCCGCUAAGCAUUUCACCCGGCAUGCUAACGAUUCUGCCAGCUCGCCGCCUUUGUAAACUUACAUAUUCAUUUCUAUUCUAGGCACAAGGCUCGAAAUAUUUUGGUGAGGGGUCCAUUCGGACGAAAUGCCGCUAAGCAUUCUGCACGGCGUGCUAACGGUUCUGACAGCUACCGGCCUGCACUUAAAAUGAUAAUGAAAACAUAUCAACAUAAUAUGCAUGCAAUAACCAACCGAGACUAACAAUUUCACUCGUCUACGAGUUACAAUUGUAACGCUAAACAUUGUAUCAUAAAGAAGGGUGUAUAAACACAACGCAUUUUGCUUCAUGAACAAUACAGAUAACACAAGAUAUGAUAUAUUAUUGUUACACUUAAAUCCUUUAAUUAUGCCGGCAAAAAAUGACAUAAUGGCAAAUUUGCAAACAUUUCCAAGACUACUAGAAUAAUUCCUCUACAGAUUUUAUGUUCUGUACUGUUCUCUUUUACUCUUUUACUCUUACUUAUUUCAGUCAUUUGACUGCGUUCAUGUUGGGGCACCGCUUUUAGUCGAGCAGAUCGACCCCAGAGCUUAUUCGUUGUAAGCCUAGUACUUAUUCUAUCAAUCUCUUUUGCCGAACCGCUAAGUUACGGGGACGUAAACACACCAGCAUCGGUUGUCAAGCGAUGUUGAGAGGACAAACACAGACAUAUAAAAACAUACACACGCACACACACACACACACACACACACACACAAACACGCACACACACACAUAUAUAUAUAUAUACGAUGGGCUUCUUUCAUUUUCCGUCUACCAAAUCUACUCACAAGGCUUUGGUCGGCCCGAGGCUAUAGUAGAAGACACUUGCCCAAGGUGCCACGAAGUGGGACUGAACCCGGAACCAUGUGGUUGGUAAGCAAGCUACUUACCACACAGCCACUCCUGCGCCUGUUCAUUUAUUUAUCAUAACUAUGUUACUGGUAUACGCCACCUCUGCCCCGAUUCUCUGCCAGCAGAAGAUUUGAUUUGAUUUUUCAAACGGGAAAAACUUCGACCAAGUUAACAGAAGAAAUGACAAAUGGUUAUGUGCAGACCCUGCUGAAGUUCCAAGUGUUAUGCACAGAAAAUUCCCUGCAACUGUUAUGGUUUUAGGGGUUGUCAGUAAUAAAGGACAUGUGAUGGCUCCUUAGUUCUUUCUACAAGGCCUUAGAGUUAACUCUGCCGCCUACAUUGAGGUCCUGAAAAUAAUUAUUAAGCCCUGGAUAGACAGUGUAUGCAAUGGAAGGCCAUAUGUGUUUCAGUACUUUGCACUAUUACACAUGGCUGUAGUAACACAGGAAUGGACGACUGAAAUUUUUUAUGAUCACAUAACCCCUAACAUUUGGCCUCCUAAUUCCCCAGGAGUCAAUCCAUUGGACUAUUACAAGGGGAACGUUCUUGUGCGAGAGGACAAUGAACACGCCCAUAACACCAGAGAUUCUUUGAAAGCUACCAUGGUCAGAGUAAUGUCUAAAAUGAACUAGCACCACUCGAUUCGAGCAUGUAGAUGAUUCAGAUGUCAUAUAGAAGCAGAUUUUGAAGGUGAAAGUGGCUUUAUUGAAUAGCAUUUUUUGAUAAAUAAAGUUAUCUGUUACGCAUCUGUUUUUUAUAAACAUAAAUUUUUCUUCAAAUAUCCUUCGCACCUUUAGGAUUCUUGUCCAUAAAGGGUUUAGCUUUAUGGCAUUUCUUCAGAUCCCCAAAACCUGUUGGCCCAUGACCUCUUAAAAAUAUAGAAGGGGAAGGCGGCGAGCUGGCAGAAACGUUAGCAUGCCUGGCGAAAUACUUAACGGCAUUUCGUCUGCCGUUACGUUCUGAGUUCAAAUGCCGUUGAGGUCGACUUUGCCUUUCAUCCUUUCGGGGUCGAAACAUUAACGGGGUCAAUACAUUAAGGGGGUCGAUCUAGUCGACUAGUUUCCUCCCCCAAAAUUUCGGGCCGUGUACAUAGAGUAGAAAAGAAAAAUAUGGAGAGGGAAAUGCCUCUCUACUCAAAAGUAACAUUUGUGGAUUAUAUCACUUUGCCAUUGGCUAUUAAUGUCCGGCUGUGAAGCAAUUUUGCGGGCUCCAAAUGACUAACAGGGAACCUCUUGAAAUGAAAACAUGGCCCGAAAAUAUAUUUUCUGGAGUCAAGUGUGUUCUUGGUUCGAGUGAAUCUUUUAGGAUUCUCAAGCGUUCAGCUAUGCAUAACUUGCAACGCUUCGUCUCGUUGAUGUAGGGGCCUGAGUUCCCGAGGAUUUUCCAUGAGAUCAAGUAUUGGAUCCCAUCAUCUCUUAGUAACUAGACGUGUCUGGCCAGUGAUGUUACGCGUGUCCUUUCCGGAAUUCUGAAGGAGGACCUGUGGUUGGAAUGAUGUUGCAUGAACGAGUCCCCGAAACAUCCAAUGUAUCUCCGUGGGCGUGUGUUGUCGGUGCUGUACCUUCUGGUAUUGUUGUUGUUGCUGCUGUUACCGACGAAAUUCUUGUUGUGGGAAUCGGGACUGCUGGUGUUGGCGUCGUUGGAGCUGGUGGUAGCGUCGGUAAUGGUAUCGCCAAUGUCGUUUAUGGUGAAGGCGUUGUUGUUAUUAUGGUCCUCGGCAUUGGUUGGAGAGUUGCCAUUACUGCUAGCAGUGACAUUAGCUGUGGUUCCACUGGUGUCUCUGCUAGGGCCGCUAUCGCUGCUGGUGCUGUGAAUGCCAUUGUAGCUGGCGGUAACACUGGACCUUGGCUGCUGCUACAGGAGUUGUCAGGUCUCCUACCGUGGACCUUAGGGAAGCUGUUGGUAAUGCUGGUGCCGACAUCCUCUUCUUCCGCUAUUCUAUCCUAUUACUCUGUCCCUCUCUUUCCCUCACUCCUACUCCCUUGCUCACGUGGUUCCCAUGAGACCAUCGGUCAUCUUUCGUUCUUUCUGUCCAUUGUAGAUGGAACAAGGAAGACGUGUUCUUGUUUGUCUCCUGUCCUAGCUUGAUUCACGCGUUCGCCACCACAACCUGGCUCAGGCUUGGCAGCCCUUCCUGUUUGUUUUCACUGUCCUGUUUGUUUUGACCCUCCGCCAAUUCCCAAAUUUUAAUUAAUUUCCUUUGCGGGAGCAACUGUUUUGUCGAAAGCGUAUGUUGUUGCUAAAUGCUCGAAAUACGAGAGUAGAAAUUCAACCAACAACUGAUGAAGGGUCAUUCUUUAUGUUGUUUGUUUUGUUUUCCAUUUAUGUCUUUCGUUGUUGAAAAGAAUAGUUCAUGUUCAGUGUACUCGUGCUACGUACUUUUUUGUUGUACACGUUACAUGACGUCCUGUGCCCACAUAUGCACACACACACACACACACACACACACACACACACACACACAUAUAUAUAUAUAUAUAUAUAUAUAUAUAUAUAUAUACGUAUACAUGUAAGUAUAUAUAUAUAUAUAUAUACGUGUGUAUAUAUAUAUAUAUAUAUAUAUAUAUAUAUAUAUAUAUAUAUAUAUAUAUAAUAUUAUUAUAUGACUGAACGCCACGCAUCUUCUUCCAAGUAAGUUUAUAUAUAUAUAUAUAUAUAUAUAUAUAUAUAAACAUUAUCUUUCAGAAACAUAGUAAGUAUUCGAAGACAUAAUAUGAUAUUUUACAGCACAAAUACAACAGAUUCAAUUUUUUGAUUAAGGAAACGAAUAUUCUCUCAACAUUUAUAUUUAAUAUUACGAGAUAACUUACAACCUUUAAAUGUUACGUCUUCUGACGAAGCCAAUUUUGACGCAACUAACAGCAAGCGUAAUAUAAAUAAUGCUGACUUGACUAGUCAGGAACGCGAUGUCUAAAAGAUAAAUAUACGACAUUAUUCACCUCCAACAAAUUCACAUUUAUUACUCUCGGUCGGUCAUAUAUUGUGCACUUUCGUUUCUUUAUAUAUAUGUAUAUAUUAUUUGUUAUUCCGUUCUUCCUUUUCAAUAAUGAUAAUUGGCCAGCUGUUUUCUGUAUCAGCGAAGAUAUAUUAGAAAAGUAUUAUAACUUUGUUUUGUUUUUAUGUAUUGUUGCUCAACCUAAAGUGUAAUGGAAGUGAUUGCAAUUGUAUGCGUUCGAUAUUUUCUAAACUAAUAAUAUUACUCAGACACAAGUUCAACUCACUGAAAAUUACAGGUCAAUUGAGAGAGCUGCGGUAAAAGACUGCGUAUUUCAUCAAUUACACAAUUAUGAAGGGUAAAUAGCGAAGUUAAGCAAAUGGUAGAUUGUAGCGAUGGAAAGAAAAAAAGAAGAAUAUUAAUUUAGAAUAUAAAAAAUGGAUUCUAAUAGGGUGCCACAAUAAGCGACCCUUUUCGGUGUAAUUUUCACUGAAAACCUAGAGCGAUCAAACAAACGAAACACUAUAAGACAUUGAGUAAUGAUACACUGAAAUUUGUUCCAACUCAAACUUAUUUUGUAAUUAGGCGGUGAGCUGGUACAAUCGUUAGCACGCCGAGCUGACAGCAACAUUAGCACACCGGACGAAAUGCAUAGCGGUAUUUCGUCUGCCGUUACGUUCUGAGUUCAAAUUCUGCCGAGGUCGGCUUGCCUUUCAUCCGGUCGGGGUCGAUUAAAUAAAGUACCAGUUACGCACUGGGGUCGAUGUAAUCGACUUAAUCCCUUUGUCUGUCCUUGUUUGUCCCUUCUAUGUUUAACCCCUUGUGGGUAGUAAAGAAAUAGGCAUUUCGUCUGCCGCUACGUUCUGAGUUCAAAUUCCGCCGAGGUCGACUUUGCCUUUCAUGCUUUCGGGGUCGAUUAAAUAUAGUACCAGUUAGGCACUGGGGUCGAUAUAAUCGACUUAAUCCCUUUGUCUGUCCUUGUUUGUCCCCUCAGUGUUUCUCACAGGGGAGGCUUAUGGGACGGUCGGACAAGUUGUUUUGAGAAAAUUUGGUUUAGAUGUUUCACAACUCAGCACUGUCCAUUAGACGGGGGGUGUUUUGCUCGUAGAACAUCAUGAUAUAUCUUUCAUAUUUUGAAAUAUUAAAUAUAUAAAGCAAGUCGUUAAAUUGCCGAGUAGAUACUAUGGUGUAGCCAUUCCACCAUCCACUCUGCACUAUGAGUUGAAAAAACGUCGGAGUCAACGCGCUAACAAUUUCACCACCUCACUGCUUUUAGAAUUUCUAGUAAUAACAUUUCUACGACAUACACAAGAUUUGAAAUUUGGGGUGAGAGAGGGGUUAGUCGAUCAGGGUAAACUUGGAUUAGAAAUGAAACUAAUAGUGAACACUUCUAUAUAAAAGCAGUACAACCCAGCACUUCUUCGGAUCCACCCAAAGAUUGAAGCUGAAUUCGGCAUUGCGGGGCAAUGAUUAUUCAUUUUUAAUGUGAGGGGUUAUAUAGUUGGCUAGCUGACAGAAAUACCUCAAAGUAUUUUGUCCGCACAAAAUACUUAAUGCUAUUUCUUCCGACUUUACAUUGUGUGUUGAAAUCCCUGCGAGGUUGACGCUGCCUUUCACCCCACUCGGAUCGGUAAAAUAAAAUGGCAAUUGAGUACUCGGGUCGAUGUAAUCGACUAGCACCCUCCCACAAAAUGUCUCGCUUUGUGCCUAUAGUAGAAAAGAAAAAAAUAAUCUAGAAAGGCUGUAGAUCUGAUCCUUGGUUGGUCUUAGGAUAAUCUAUUGUUACAAGCAAUGUGACUUACGAUAUCUCUGAGCUGAGAAUAACUUUUUCUCACCAGUUACGAAUGCCCUCCAAACAGCCAUGGCUAUUGUUCUACCUCCCGAGACUAAGAUAUCACGACAAAACUUUCUGUGAGUUCCACCGAACUUUUGGCAGAGAAACGUCUUAGUCUCUGCCAACUACAAUGCUAGUUUCAGAAAUCGAACCAUCGAUAUUUUCAAGCGAAAUAUUCAUUAUUCUUUUGCUCAUUAUAUGACUCUCGCCAUAUCGAAACUAUUUACCAAAUAUUUUUAUGCAAUUAGAGAGAGGUUUCGUGUUGCCAAUUAUAUAAAGCGAGGCAGGCCAUAUUGCCGUCAGGCAGUUAAAUGCAUAACUACUCAUUAUUCUUUUCUUAACAUAUCUGAUUAUUUAUAGAUGAUGAGGUAUUACACAAUUGCAGAGUCUAGCUUUCCUUUCCAUAAUUACAUUUAAGACGAUUUGAUAUAUAUAUAUAUAUUCUCUCUUCUAUUUGUCUGGUCCUCUAAAUGUAAUUAAUAAAUAUUUCUAAUUAAAAUUUCGCUAAAAUAUUUGUUUGUAAUUACUUCAGCUAAUUAGAAAGGAAUCUGAAUUCUGAUGAGAUCAUGAGAUGGAUGAAUUGAAAUGAGGUCAGGCUAACUGACCUAAGUCCAUUGCCUGUUUUCAAUACAAUGUAACACUGUAAUAUGAUACGUCGAAAAGUCUAUAUCUUUGUUGGUGAGUAAAUCAGUAUUACCAUUGAGAUCGUAAUAUAAAAGUGGGUAGCAUGAAAAGAAUGGCUGAAGAAACAUGAGUUCGAUUCUCGUUUGUAUUUUCAUUUCGUUGUUUAUAUCUCAUUCUUUAUGACCGAGAGAGAAAUCACAGACAUUGUCUAAUUUAAUGCGUAUGUAGAAUAAUGUAAUAAAUACGUACGAAAUAAAAUAAUCCUUUCUCCUAAAGGCACAAGACCUGAAAUUUGGGGGAGGGGACUAGUCGAUUACAUCGACCUCAGUGUAUCACUGGUACUUAAUUUAUCGAUUCCGAAGAGAUGAAAGGCAAAGUCGACCGGAGUGGAAUUUGAACUUAGAAAAUAAAGACGGACGAGAUGCCUAUUUCUUUACUACCCACAAGGGGCUAAAAACACAGAGAGGACAAACAAGGACAGACAAACGGAUUAAGACGAUUACAUCGACCCCUGUGUGUAACUGGUACUUAAUUUAUCGACCCCGAAAGGAUGAAAGGCAAAGUUGACCUCGGCAGAAUUCGAACUCAGAACGUAACGGCAGACGAAAUACCGCUAAGCUUUUUGCUCGACGUGCUAACGGUUCUGUCAUUUCGCCGACUUGUAUGAUAUAAAAUAACACACGUAAACACAAGAUCACCGCACGUAGUUAUUUUCACGAGUUGGGGUAUAAACGAAUCUAUGGACAAUACACACGUCUGGUCCUUAUUUAAUCGCCCAAGAAAAGACUGAAGACAAAAAAAGAAAAAGAAAAUGAUGUAAACCUCAGUUGUAUUUGAAAGCAGAAAAAUGUAACUAAAUAGGUAUUUCGUCCAGCACUCUAACGACACAUUCGUGGCCAUAACAUAAGUAUAAUAAUUAAGGUGGCGAGCUGGCAGAGACGUUAGCACGGCGGGCGAAAUGCGUAGCCGUAUUUCGUCUGCCGUUACGUUCUGAGUUCACAUUCAGCCUAGGUCGACCUUGCCUUUCAUCCUUUCGGGGUCGAUUAAAUAAGUACUAGUUACGCACUGGGGUCGAUAUCAUCGACUUAAUCCCUUUGUCUGGCCUUGUUUGUCCCCUCUGUGUGUAGGCCCUUGUGGGUAGUAAAGAAAUAGGUAUUUCGUCUGCUGCUACGUUCUGAGUUCAAAUUCCGCCGAGGUCGACUUUGCCUUUCAUCCUUUCGGGGUCAAUAAAUUAAGUACCAGUUGCAUUCUGGGAUCGAUCUAAUCGACUGGCCUCCUCCCCCAAAAUUUUAGGCCUUGUGACUAGUGUAGAAAAGAAUAUUCAAAGACAGGAAUUUGUGGAGGGUGGUUAGUUGAUUAAUCGACUGUAGUCUUUGGCUGGUUUUAUUUUAUGGGGCACAAAAGGAUGCGUGGCAAAGUUGACCUAGUCGGCAUUUGAACUCCUACUAUUACUGACCCUAACUAAAUUCCCUAAAGCGUUUUCAUUCAACAAUUUACCAAUUCUGCUAAUCUGCAGCUCUGAGCACACUCUAGUAAUAGGAACAGCAUUGUGUCUACACCCCUCAUUCUUUGUCCAUCUACUAUAGGCAGAUAAAUUUGAUCUUACUGGAUUUAUUUCCCUUAUUUAAUACAUAAUAGAGAACGUUACCUGUAACAUGACAAGUAAUGUUGAGAACAUACCUUUGCCACUUUUGAUAUAAUCAGAUAAGGUUACCUUUAUAAACUUGUUAAUAAUUAAACAAUAUUAUUGUUAUUGAUAACAUAUUGCAUAUACCUAAAUUAGUUUUAUUCAAAUUAAUUUUAACGUAAUCAAUAUUUUCGUUUUGAAAAUUAGUACUCAUUUCAUUUGUAUUCAGUUCUCAAGAAAUUUGAAAUUAAAUAAAUUAUUACAGUAUGCAACAUUACCUAAUAUUAGCCAGUUGUAAAAUUAUAUAUUGAACAAAACUUACCUUCUAUCUAUCGUUUCGGGCAUGUUGCCGAGACCCAAUCCGUUCUUUCUUUUCAAUUGUUCCUGUUUUCUUUGACAUUUUAGAGGUUUUCUAUUUGUAACUGAAUAUCACGUUAUUCUGUGUAGUCCAAAAAGAGAAUUUUCAUGACUCGGGAUUCAUAAAAAGGAGAUCACACCAUAAUUUAUCCUUGCCUCGAUAACAGUGACCGGUAUAUCUUGCCCUCGGUUCUCGAAUAAUUGAUGAUACGUUUGGGAUAUUUCCAUUAAAUUUUUCUUUCGUAGGAUGUUAUUUCCAGGAUUUGUUGAGAACUGCUCCCAUUAUAUGUGUGUAGGUACCAUCAAGUUUGAUUUCGAUCUUUUUCUUAUGAGAGUCCACACUGAUGAACCAUAAAAAAGAAUUGACUCUACUAUGGCUCUGAAAAAUUCCCUUUUCAUCAGGACAUACAGUGAACUGUGUUUUACAUACAUCUGUUAAUCUUCACGGUAACAUUGAUUUUUAUUCUACUGAAAACUAGAAGCUGGAAGUAUCCAUUCAAGAAGAUCACUGAUGCUGUCUAUGCAGACGACCUUGCCGCUAUUUGCUGACAAGAUGAGAAAUGCUGGAAAACUACUGCAUGCAUUAGAUGAGGCAGCUUCUGGGCUCAGUUGUUAUGUGAAUGCUGGGGUGACUGAAUACAGAAACUUUAAUCAGAAACUCAUUCAGAGACACACCUUUACAGAAAGUCGAAAUCCUCACUUAACUUGGAGUGAUUGCAUAUGCAAAGAAAAUGACAUAUCAACCCGCAAAGCAUGGAGGACACUGGAAUAACACAACAUGUAUAAGAGAAGCAUUCAUAAUUCACAUUUUUGUUUGUAUAUUGGUAUGUAUGUAUGUAUAAGUGCAUGUAUCUAUGGUGGAUAAUCCAAUAUAUAUAUGAGGCAAAUAAUAAAAUGAAGAGGAUAUAAAAUCGACAAACAUUCCACUACAUCUAUUUAUUAAAUGAUAGCAAACAUGCGUUUAAGUGGUGCAAGUAAACGAAUGAAAUCAGCCAAUAAAUACGUAAACAGAUAUAUAUAUAUAUAUAUAUAUAUAUAUAUAUAUAUAUAUAUAUAUAUAUAUAUCUGUCUCUCUUUCUCUCUACCCUCUUGUGACCUGCUGCUUAACAAGCCAUUUCGUUGGUGACCGCAGCCCGCUCAACAUCGUUCCCCCUCUGCCGAAAAGGCAAUUAUUUUUCCAAACACGCCUGCUAAAUAAGUUAUAUUUGUCUCAUUUUGUCUAAAGUCGUAAGACACCUGCUGUUAUCCUGUUAUUAAUCAUUCUUGUUUUUAAUUUUAUUUUUGUUUCGUUUUUUUUUUUGUAUUUAUAUUCGUCCCUGUUGCGUUUACAUUCGUUCCUUUUUCCCAAAAAUCUAAUGCUCACAGCUUAGUUUUCUUUGGGGCUGGCCGCGUUGGAGCAAAUAUCAGAAUUAAACAGCCGAAAUUUGCUAUGAUGAUCCGGAUUCUGACUGAAGAUUAAAGGCUUCGAAUGACCCGUCUGUUUUCUGUGUUCGUCCCUUUGUGUAUUUCACGUUCUUGUUUCUUUAUAUAUAAUUUUUAUUCCUAUAUAUAUAUAUAUAUAUAUAUAUAUAUAUAUAUAUAUACAUAUAUAUAUAUAUAUAUCUGUUUGCGUAUUUAUUGGCUGAUGUUUACUAGCCUAGCUGAUGUUUGUCGAUUUUAUAUCCUCUCCAUUUUCUUAUUUCACACACACACACACACACACACACACACACACACACACACACACACACACAUAUAUAUAUAUAUAUAUACGACGAGCUUCCAUACAGUAUCCAUCUACCAAAUUCACUCCUUAUGUAUUAGUUAGCCCGUGAGCAACAGUAGAAAAUACUUUCCCGAAGUGCUGCAAUGUGAGACUGGAAGUUAAGUGUGAGUGUGAAGCUUUUUAACGAGACAUCAACAUCUAUGCCUAUAUAAUAUGUAUAUACGUAUCUAUAUAUAAAUGGGUGUUGGUGAGUUAGUAUAUAUGGAGGGAUGUGCGUGUGCAUCAAUGUGUGUGUGAGUGUAUGUGUAUGUAUCUUUGCCAUUGUGCAAAUCUAUGUUUACAUAGAUAUGAACAAUGUUUACACGACUAUACGUGUACAUUUGUACUUACUUUAGGCAAAAACUUCUAGAAUGUUUUGCCCUUUUUCUCAAUAAUUUCUAUUUUUGUGAAGCCUUGGUUUUUCAUGAUUGGUCCUAAGACUGUUACUUACACAACCCCUAGCUCUAAUAAUCACAGUUAAAAUCUUAAGUUAGAAUCAUAGCAUUUAUAGUAUGCAGUAUUUGUAGAUUUUUGCUAAUUCCCUAUAUAUGUUUGCUGUUGCUUUACUUUUAACAUUAUAUCAAUAUCGCCUGAACAGCUGACUUUUACCCCUAUACUCACUUAUCUUUGUUCCAUAUCUUAAAGUCUGUGCUGUUAUGCUUACGUUUCACAGAAGCUUUGACCUGAACAUUCCGCCAGUAUUCCUUCAUAUUAUGAAUGACUAUGCUAUCCAUAUCACUGUAAAUUCUUAUAUUUUUAUCCUCAGUUCUAUUUUCUUACUACGAUUGACAUUUUGUUGUGUUUUAGCUAAUACAUCAUGCCUCAUAGGUAAAUAGCAUUAUGUUGACAUUUUCCUGACAGCUGCUUAUGAUGUGGGUUAUAUCUGCGGUUUUAAUUCUACAGAGUCUGCAUCGGUUGUCAAAUCUAGGCAUUUUAUUAACAUCUUUAUUCUCUCUUGAGCAGUAUAUAUAACCGCUGUUGUUUCUAGAUCUUGGGUUGCAAAAGAACAUAGCCAUCAUAACGAAAGCUAAUGCUUUUGGUUCAAGUUAGACGGCUUUCCAUCGUUCAAUUCUGUUAUAAUUCUAUUCACAUCUCUUUCUCUUUUCUUUCUCUCUUUUUCUUGUUUCAGUCAAUUGACUGCGGCCAUGCUGGAGCACCGCCUUUAGUCGAACAAAUCGACCCCGGGACUUAUUCUUUGUAAGCCCAGUACUUAUUCUAUCGGUCUCUUUUGCCGAACCGCUAAGUUACGGGGACGUAAACACACCAGCAUCGGUUGUCAAGCAAUGCUAGGGGAACAAACACAGACACACAAACACAUACACACAUAUAUAUAUAUAUAUAUACGACGGGCUUCUUUCAGUUUCCGUCUACCAAAUUCACUCACAAGGCAUUGGUCGGCCCGGGGCUAUAGCAGAAGUCACUUGCCCAAGGUGCCACGCAGUGGGACUGAACCCGGAACCAUGUGGUUGGUUAGCAAGCUACUUACCACACAGCCAGUCCUGGUGCUUUAUAGGAAUAUUGAAUAAUUCCACAGAUCAGGAAGUCCAAAAUUUAUGCACGUAUCAUGCAGUAUCCGCCUCCUCCUUUCUAACUACUACUACUACUACUACUACUACUACUACUACUAAUACUACUACUAAUACUACUGCUGCUGCUGCUGUUGCUCUUGCUGCUGCUGCUGCUGCUACUGUUGUCGCUGCCCCUCUACCUUAAAGAAUAGCCCUGAAGCAGAACAAGAAACCAAUAUCAUUAAUCUUCCUCGUUUAUUCUUUUUGAAAAUACCUUUGUACUUUACAACAUAUAAUGAUAUUUUAUUCGUUCACAAAAUUUGGGGCAACCAAAGGCUUGUGAAUGAAACUGGAUCAUUGAAAAUGUGUGAGAUCCCAUCGGAGGGUUAAUUGCGUCUGUAAUUUAAAGAUUGGGCCUAGCUACAUUAUUCAUUCUGAUUCCGUAUGAUAAUUACGUCAAGUUUACAAAUGUCUGUCGAAUAUUCAACCAUUUUCACACUAAUGCAAUGAACGGCUAGAUUCUAUUGAAAGAGCAAGUAUUUAUUCACAGUCAAAAUCGACGGAGAUCCAUCUACUAUAUAAUUUUCAUCGCAAAAUCAGCCAGUGUGAUAACAAACGAUGUUAGAGGUUCGUUAUAGUGGUACUAUUUUUCAUUAUUGAGAUCCUUAUCAAAAUUAUUUAUUUGCUAUCUACGUAUGGGAAUUCAUUACUAAAACUAUUGCUGUCAAAUUUAGCGCUUUAUCAAUACAUGAAUAUAAAUAUAAAAAGCUGCUCAUUGCAUCAUAUGUAACCUUCGUUCAUUACUGAUGAACAAAUGUCAAAGAACGCCUCCAGAUGCGAAUUUAACAGAACUCCUAUUUCGUUGAAGCGUCAUUCAUGCGCUGCAGGCGUACGGUACGUGGCGAUGACGGAUUUAGCACGAUGCUAAUGCAUUAUCCAUUCGUGCAUAUGAAACAGGUAAUCCGAAUAACCAAUUAAGAUCUAGAAAGUAAUAAUAAUGAUAAUAAUAAUAAUAAUAAUAAUAAUAAUAAUAAUAAUAAUAAUAAUAAUAAUAAUAAAAGUGACACUGGAGUAAAAUAUACGAAGCCCAAUAUACCCAUCAUGACUACCCGUCUGAUAAGGGUACACCAGACACAUGCAUCACAACCAACUGUCCACGACAUGGUGAUCUCAUAUCAAGAUAAACAGCGCAUGACCUUGCAGGUGGGGCCCAGUUAGUAUUUUCUUCUGGCCGAGUAACCCAUCCCGCUCAAAAGGUCCCUGAAUAAGGGUUAUUUAAGGAUGUUGAACGAACCACCAAUGUUUCCAAAGGGGAAUUAUUCAAACCUCCAAGUAUUCCUUUCAAUACACCGCUAUGAUGCUCCCCCACUACUUCUGCUCAUGAUCAGAUAUGCACAUAUCGGCAGUCAUUAAGAGACAUGGUCAACUGGUUAAGGUCAAUCAACUGACAAGCAAAUCUGUGGUAUUGAGCAGAAUAUUUGCUGUAGCCCAUUAUUAUUAUUAUUAUUAUUAUUAUUAUUAUUAUUAUUAUUAUUAUUAUUAUUAUUAUUAUUAUUCAGUAGUUUUAUUUUUAUAGCGUGCUUUCACUUCACUACCGAGCACAGCUCUGUGUGCCUUGGGUAUGUGCUGUGAUUUGUUGUGAUGCUCUGAUGGUUAUUGUAUGGAAAGUGUUCUGCGUAGGAUGUGUGCAGUGCCUAGUAGUGCAAUUUUCUGUAUGCUAUAUGUGUUUGUAAGUCCUGGUGUUUUUGUUAUGUAUUUGUCUGAAUAUUUUUUUAUCAUGCCUAAUGCACCUACUACGAUAGGAAUUGUUUCUGUUUUCAGAUUCCACAUUCUAGUUACCUCUAUUUCCAGGUCUUUGUAUUUUGAGAGUUUCUCCAUUUCUUUUAGAGACACGUUGUCAUCAGCCGGUAUUGAUACAUCAAUUAGAAAGCAUUUUUUUUCUUCAUGAUCUCUGACAACUAUAUCUGGUCUGUUGGCCUUAAUUUCUCUAUCUGUGUGUAUCGGCAUAUCCCAGAGUAUGGUUGCUUUCUCGUUUUCUGUGACCUUUUCUGGUGUGUGCCUAUACCAUCUUUUUUCUGUUGUUAUUCCAUAAUGUUGGCAUAGCUUCCAAUGUAUGUAGGUUCCAACUCUGUCAUGUCUGUGAAUAUAUUCCUUCUUAGCCAAGACUGGGCAGCUAGAGAUAAUAUGAUUUAUUGUUUCUUGUCCAUCUCCACAUAUUCUGCAGUUACUUGUAAUAUUUCUUUUCAUUACAUGUUUUUGGUAAUUUCUGGUGGGGAGGCUUUGGUCUUGUGCUGCAAUUAAAAAUCCCUCUGUUUCUGCUUUGAGUCCUGAGCUUCUCAACCAUUGCUGGGAUUUUUCUUUGUCUAUUUCUUUUGCGUUUAGUUUAGUCCAGUAUUUACCAUGAAGGGGCUUUUCUUGCCAUCGUUUUAUCAUGGUUCGUUGCUGUUCUAUUUUUAGUUUGGAUUUCAUUUGUUUUAUAGCUUUUGUUGUUUCUUCAUCUUCUUCUUCUUCUUCAUGUUUAUUAGGUGGUAUGAUUUCUUGUUUGUAUUUGUCAGCUUCCUUAAAUACUGAGAACAGUUUUUUGUUUUGCUCGUGUUUUGCCGCUAUCUGGAUCAGUUUUCCUUCCUUCUGAAGUAGAUAUUUUUGCAGUCCUAUGGUGGUUAUUUUAUAGUAGUUUUCCAGCUGUAUAAGGCCUCUACCACCUUCUAUACGUUGUAUAUAUAGUCUUUCUGUGUCAGAUUUUGGGUGAUGCAUCCUAGAUCCUGUCAUUAUUUUUCUUCUUUUCCUAUCUAUUUUGGUCAGUUCAUUUCGUGUCCAGUUAAGGAUAUUGUAGCUGUAACUUAUAACUGGGACAGCUUAAGUGUUGAUACCUAUUAUCUUGUUUUUAGCAUUGAGCUCUGUGUUUAGUAUUGAUCUAACUCGUCUAUAAUAUUCUUUUUUUAUUUUCUCUUUCAUUUGUGUGUGUUGUGUCUUAUCUAGUUCAUGGAUUCCUAAGUAUUUGUAAGUUUGGCUUUGGUCUAAUUCUUUUAUUUCAUUGGUUUUAUCUAGUGUGAUGUUGUUACUCUUAACUAGUUUUCCUCUUUUCAGGGUUACUUUGGCGCAUUUUUCUAAUCCAAAUUUCAUAUCUAUUUCUUUGGUAAAUCCAUGAACUGUCUUUAAUAGUGUUUCCAGCUGUUUGUCAUUUGCAGCGUAUAGUUUUAGGUCAUCCAUAUAUAAAAGGUGGCUGAUCGUUUUGCCGUAAUAUUUAUAUCCGCAUCCAGUUCUAUUUAGCAUAUCAGAUAGAGGUGACAGUGCCAAGCAGAAAAGGAGUGGAGAGAGCGUGUCUCCCUGGAAUAUUCCUCUUCUAAUGGGGAUGUCUUUGGUUUUCAUGAGUCCCUCUUUUGUUUGGAGGUGUAGGACUGUUUGCCAUUUAUUCAUAGAGUGCUCUAUGAAUUUUAUGAUUGUUGGUGCUACUUUGUUAAUGGCUAGUGUUUCGAGGAUCCAUGUGUGGGGGAUGCUAUCAAACGCCUUUUUGUAGUCAAUCCAGGCCAUACUGAGGCCUUUCUUCUUUCUGUGGCUGUCUUCAGUUAUGGCUUUAUUAAUCAUUAGUUGAUCUUUACAGCCAUAUGAGCCUUUGCGGCAUCCUUUCUGCUCUUCUGGGAACAGUUUGAUUUCGUCCAGGUGCUUGUUUGUGAUAUCACUGCAGUAAAUGCCUUGAACAUAGUAGGGAGGCAGGUUAUUGGUCUGUAGUUUUCUGGUUUUUCUGUUUCAUUUGAUUUGGGAAUUAAGAUGGUUUUCCCCUUCGUGAGCCAUUCAGGCAUUGUCUCUGGCUCUGCUAGUACUUUGUUAAAGUUUUCAGCCAGCUUUUUGUGCAUUCCUGUUAGAUAUUUCAACCAGAAGUUGGGGAUCUUGUCAUGCCCAGGUGCCUUCCAGUUGCUUAGUCUUUGCAGUGCCUGGGUGACCUCUUCAGUUGUUAUGGGAGUCCAAAGUUGUUCAGAUGCCGAGUUUGUUAUUCUGAUACUCCUUUUUUUUGGUGGUUCGUUCGCCGACCAUAUUUCUCCACAGAAUUCUUCCAAUUCUUUUGCCGUUGGUGCUGCAGUGACUUCUAUUUUAUUUUUUCCCAGUUCUUGGUAGAACUUUUGGGGGUUAGAGUUGAACUUUUUGUUUUCUUCAAAGAAGCGUUGGCGUUUCUUGUACCGGCGGAUCCUUUGUGCUUUUGCAAGGAUAUCUUGCUUCAGCUUUUCUUUUAUUUCAGGCAAUUCUUUCUCCGUGAUGUUAUAUUUGCGGAGUAUUUUUGUUCUCUUUUUGUUGCUCAGUAGCGUUGAUUGUUUGCUGAUAUCAUUAAGAAUCGACAGGUCUUUUCUAAUUUUUUUUAUUUUGCUUUGGAUGUUAUUUAUCCACAGGGUUUGUUUGGGUGGUGGUACUCCUGUUUGGGCGGGUUUGGGUGAGUAUCCAGCUUCUUUUGUGGCUGCAGUGGCUGCUGCGUAUAUUAGGUUAUUUAGCUCAGUGAUAUCACUUUUUUUUUAUUCAGUGGCUAUCAGUUCAGUGACGGCUAGGUUUAUGCUGUUUAUAAUAGGUGUUGUUAUUUUGUUUAUUUUGAUUCUUGGGAGGUAUGGUCGGUGGUCCAUUUUGAGCUCUGUGGUUUUCAGUUCUUUGAUUAUUUUAUUUUUUAUAUUAUCAUAAUCAUUAGGCUCCCCUUCGUUGUUUACAUCGUGUUUGUUGGGAAUGUUGCGUUUGUCUUCGUGUUUUACAGUUUCAGUGUUUAUAUUAUUGGGCAUUGUUGUGUGGCUUCUAUCUACAUUUUCCUGGUGUAUGUUUUCUUUUAGGUGUUCUAUUUCUAUUUCUGAUAUUUUUUUUGUGUUGAGAAUGUAUCUUCGUACGUUAGCUAAUUUAUUAGGGUUCAUUGCUGUUUCCAAAUCUAUAUCUCUAUUAUUUUCCUUCCAUAUUUUAUAUGUAUGUGUUGUUGUAUUUUCAUUUUUUGGGUAGAGUACUGCUGUGAAGUAUGCGUGUAAGAUAGAAAUGUAUUCCUCACGUGUCCAUUUACGUCUUUUGGGUUUUAUUUGCGGGACAUGAGGUACAACGUCCGGCCCAUUAUUUUGACGGUCGUCAUUUUCGUAGGGUACCGGUCCGUUUAUUUCUGUCACAUUAUUUCGCACGUGUAGUUUUUCGUACAUUUUUUGUUGUAAGUUUAAUGUACGUACCGCUCGAUUGUUAUUCUUGGGUUGAAUAGUAUCGGUGGCAUUUAAUUUCUUCGUAGUUCCUUUGUACAUGGUGUUUGGGGUCGGAGAUGAUCGUGAUGUUCCACGCAUGUUUACAUGUGUUGCGUUAGAGGUGGAGAUGAUAUCGAGUCAAAAUACAUCAUUUCGUUUCGAAAAUAGUAAUAAAUUUCAAUUAGUAUUACUUACUCGGAUACAGUCCAAUUCUUUGUUAGUAAAACUUUGGCUCCAUAGGAUGUCCUUGUUUUCGAUGUUUGUGGAUAGAUUUCGGAGCUCUGAAUUUUCCUUCUUACAUCUUAAACGUCCCCGGUGUUCUCCUCUUAAACCUUAAUAUUAUUAUUAUUAUUAUUAUUAUUAUUAUUAUUAUCAUCAUCAUCAUCAUCAUCAUCAUCAUCAUCAUCAUCAUCAUCAUUAUUAUUAUCAUUAUUAUUAUUAUUAUUAUUAUUGUUUUUAUAGGGAUGGACUCUCCCGUCGAAGACCACUUACGAGUGUUCAGCUUUUGCCGAAUGGCCUGCAGAAAUGAUUCGCUUACAGUGAUCAAAUGCCUGUGUUGUACACUAACUCACUACUCCAUUAAAUCGACGUUACCUGGACAGGUGCAUGGUGCACCAUGCAUCAGGUGUUGAACUAAUUGCAAAGCAACAUGUGAUAAAGCGUUUUGCUCAAGAACACAACGAACUACCCAGUCCAGGAAUUGAAACCACGAUAUCGGGAUCGUAAGUGCAACACCCUAACCGCUGGGCUAUACCUGGCUCAUACCUCCGAGAACGAGUUCGAAAAAACAUUUCCCUACAGAACAUAAUUACCGUAAACAUUUUAGCAGAAAUAAUACAACAGUCAUCAACAGUACCAAUGGAAAUGUAACUAAGAGCUAGUAAUUCAUGUAACUGCAUCAGAACAUGAGUUUUUACAUUACACAGAGGCUACUUUAGAACAAACGUUAAUUACAAAGCAACAAAAUUAUAUUCUGGACCAACGGCAAAGAAACUACAUUGGCUUUACUAGUGGAAUGUUCAAAGGCAG